CCCAACACGACGCGUGUGCCACCCGGUCAAGUCUAGGUCUAGCCGCCGCUCCCCUCCCCACCCCCAGGGGAUUUAUCCUCUCUUCCUCUCCAGUCUCCUCCUCCAUCUCCAUGCUCUUCCUGCCUCGGAGUCGGAGACCCUUUACAAUAAUUACUUACUUGGAGCAUCUCUAGCAGACCCUUGACAACCGGGCCUGGAUCUGGAUCCGGAUCCAUCUCUUCUCCCCUCCCCCGCGCCGGAUCGCGCAUCGGCUUGGAGGCCCCUCGGGGCUGCCGCCGGUGCGGGAGGCGUCCGCGGCCGUGCGAGCUGGGAACAGAGCGGCGGGUUUCGAUCGAGGGCUUUCUCGGGCCGGCGCGGGAUCUGAGCCGCCGUCCAUGGAUUUCUCGCAGCUUGGGUUUGGUACUAUCCCCACCUCUCUCUCUCUCCCUCCCUCGGCGUUGACGCGCGCGCACCUAAACCGGAUCAGGCGAGCGCUCGUUGCCUGAUCGCUCAACCAUCGUCCCUGGUCGGCUGACGCCAGGUAUGAGCAGCUCCUGAGCCUGGUCGCUCGAUGCGUGCACGCACGCAUGUAUGCAUAUAUAUACUCCCUCUGUAAAGAAAUAUCAUGGUCAUGUUGCUUGGUGUGGAAUUGUGGCUGAAACAAUCAUGUCUUGGGCAAUCAAGACAGCCGUGGUGGUGGGUACUAAAUAAGAGCGUCUACGACCGGACUUAUUGACCCAUCAUUUGUACCGCCCUCUCAGUUCCCCGUCAGCUACGGUGCCGCCAGCCAUCGACAUUCCAUUGCCUGGGAUCCGGUUGUGGCGUGGGCUGGGAGCCGUACGGUGUUGUUGUCUGAUGUGUGCUGGAGGGUUUGGUCGGUCGAGGCCAGGUAUGAGCAGCUCCUGAGACUGAUGGAUGGAUGAUGUAUGCAUGCAUGAUACUAUGGUCAUGCUGGGACCGGAUUCACUGUUUUGACCCUAUUUGGAGAAGUUCAGCACAAAAUGAACCAUGUUGGAAGCUUAUCUGGGGCGAUGAUGAUGAAACAUGGCUGACAUAAACUUGUCUUCGGGCACCAAAAACACACUCCCCCUUCUUUUGAAACCUUUUCAUUCUCACAGAAUAUUGACGGCUCUGUCUUGGAUGGUCAUUCUGUUGAGUGAUAACCAGAGGAGCUCGACUACAAUUUUGGGGGCUGAUCUGGUGAAAGAAGAUGGUGGAGCUAGGUUGUAUGAUCUAUCAAAGGCGAAUCUGAGCCCUCUCAAAUCUCAAUGCAACUAAUAUUGUGGCCUCUACACUUUUAUUUACUUCUAUCACCUCUUUAUGUUUAAAAGUGAUGAAUUGUCGUGGUUGUGGCAUUUGCUAUCUCAUUAGGAGCAGCUGCUCACAAAUCACCUCUCGUGGUGUUUGGUUUGCUUUCUCAUGAUUUUGUUUUCCAUGGUGGGAACCACUUCGGUGCAUUCGGGCUUUUUCUUUUCGGUUUUACUUUUCCUUGAAUGGUUGUGAUAAUUCUACUGUCCCUUGGAUAGCUUUUGAGAUUAUCUUAUUGGGUUGGGGGUCAGUUUGCUUGUUUGAAUUGCUAUUUGGCUUUUGAUAUUGUCAUCCUUCUAUACGCUUUAUGUACUUAUUAUCAGUUUGCACUUUUGGCACUCCCCACUUCUUUACUGGUUUCAACUUAAGGGUCGAUGGAUUUUGGCAGCUUGGCUGCAUGUUGCUUCGGAUUCGGUACUGUCACCAUCUUCCUCUGCCCCCCCCCCCCCCCCCCCAAACCCUAGGUGUGGACGUGCGCACCUAUACCGAAACCCUGAACCGAAUCAUCAGAGCUCUUGUUGCCGCAUCACCGACCCAUCGUCCGGGUGGGUGCCGCGUCAGUCCCUCAGGCUCUACGGUGCCGCCAAUCCAUUGGCUUGGAUUCAGUUGUGCCAUGGGCUGGGAACCGUACAGUGAUGUCUGAUCGGUCGUCCGUGCGGGAGGUUUGGUCGGUCGAGGCCAGGUAUGAGUAGCUCUUGAGCAGGAUGGAUGCAGAGGGCGAUGAUGAUGAUGACGACGAGUGUGGCUGAAAUAAAGGUGUCUAGACAACCUAUAGCCAGCAGUCGGCUAUACUAUUAACCAUGCUCUAAAUAGAAUCGGUGAACGCAUUAGAGUUGCUCUUAGAGCCCACCCUUACUUCUCUUGCAGCCUGUUCAAUUCAUCGCUGAUGCUGGAUGUUCUGUGGCUCGGACGGUCAUCCUGAUGAGUGAUAACCAGGGCAGUUCUCCUCUACACUGAUGGGUAGAUUUUGCAGCAAGAGAUGUGGUUGGGUUUCAAGAUGAAAUGCAAAACUGAGCCAUCUUCUUUUGCUUAUCCUCUCUCUCUCAAACCCUAAACCAAAUCAGUUGAGUUCUCAUUGCCGACUCGUUGACCAAUCGUCUGUGUGGUUGGUGUGUCAGUUCCACACCGCUACGGCGCCGCCACCGCUAUCCCAUUGGCUUCGAUUCGGGUGCGGCGUGGGCUGGGAACCGUACGGUGUUGUCUGAUGCGUCGUCUGAGCAGGAGGGUUGGUCUGUCGAGGCCAGGUAUGAGCAGCUCCUGAGAUGGUGGACGGAUGGAUGUAUGCAUGCAUGUAUGUAUGUAUAUCAUGGUCAUGUUGCUUGUGGUUCGGUGUCCUUUUUGGAAAAAACUGAGGGGCGAUGAUGAUGCCUGUGGCUGAAAUAAUUAUGUCUUGAGCAAUCAGGACAUCUGUGGUGCGUGGGUACUAAAUAGGGCCUGAACGGGUGCUUGCGUUGGAGAUGCCCUUAAGGGCCCUCCCUUGGCUCUCUUGCAGCCUGUUCAAUUCAUUACCAAUUUUGGAUGUUCUGCGCCGCGGACGGUCAUUCUGUUGAGUGAUAACCAGAUCAGUUCUCUUGCAUCAAGAUGGGUAGAUUAUGCAGCAAGAGAUGCGGAGUGUUGGGCUUCAAGAUGAAACACAAAACUGAGCCCUCUUUUGAUAUGCUACAAAUACUAAAGUAGUGAUCUAAACGCUCUUAUAUUUCUUUACGGAGGGAGUAUUUGUGAACAUAGGGAGUAUCUAUCUAUCAGGGGCGAUGAUGAUCAAACAUGGCUGAUAUAAACCUGUCUUCGAUUAUUCAAGAAGCUGUGGGUAUCAAAAACCAUCUCUCCCCUCUUUUGGGACCUUUUCAUUCUCACCAAAUAUUGAUGGCUCUGUCUUGGAUGGUCAUUCUGUUAAGUAAUAACCAGCAGAGCUUGACUUCAAUGUUGGGGGUUGAUCUGGUGAAAGAAGAUGGGGCUAGUGUGAUCUAUCAAAGGCGAAUCUGAGCCCUCCUACAUCCGAUUCAUAAAAAAGUUGGAACAUCUUAUAUUUGUGAACUGAGGGGAGUAUCUAUCUAUCUAUCUAUCUAUGAGGGGCAAUGAUGAUCAAACAUGGCUGACAUAAACCUGUCUUUGAUUAUUUGAGGAGCUUUGGGUAUAAAAAACCCUCUCUCCCCUCUUUUGGGACCUUUUCAUUCUCAACGAAUAUUGACGGCUCUGUCUUGGAGGGUCAUUCUGUUGAGUGAUAACCAGCAGAGCUUGACUUCAAUGGUGGGGAAUGAUCUGAUGAAAGAAGAUGGUGGGGAUAGUAUGAUCUAUCAAAGGCAAAUCUGAGCCCUCCUACAUCCGGUUCAUAAAAAAGUUAGAACAUCUUAUAUUUGUAAAUAGAGGGAGUAUCUAUCUAUCUAUCUAUCAGGGGCGAUGACGAUCAAACAUGGCUGACAUAAACCUGUUUUUGAUUAUUUAAGGAGCUGUCGGUAUCAAACACCUGCUCUCCUCCCCUCUUUUGGGACCUUUUCACUCUCACCGAAUAUUGACGGCUGUCUUGGAUGGUCAUUCUGUUGAGUGAUAACCAGCAGAGCUUGACUUCAAUGGUGGGGGAUGAUCUGGUGAAAGAAGAUGGUGGGGCUAGUAUGAUCUAUCAAAGGCGAAUCUGAGCCCUCUCAAUGCAACUUAUAUUGUGCGUAAAAAGUUAGUAUGUUUAAUAAAGGUAAUAAAUUGUUGUGGUGUUUGGUUUGCCUUCUCAUGAUUUUGUGGUUCAUGGAGGGAACCAGUUUGGUGCUUUCAGGCUUUGCUCAAGCUCGUCUCGUUGUGGUGGUCCUUGUACCGGUAGUGUUUGAAUGUGUUUACUCCCUUCUUUUCGUGGGGUUAAAUGUGUGAAGCAUGGUCAGCAAAUGUUUGCCCUCUUUUCCUGUCUAUGCAUGUCCUCUUUUUCGUCCCCUUAUUUUUUUACUGGUUCUUAUGGCAGUGAUGUAAAUUCAAGUCGGCAAGUUGUCAACAUUUUUUCUACUGUUUUAGCAUAGCACAGCAACUGCUAAUUGGCCUUUAAGAAUACAAUUUGGCCGGUUUGCUUUUUGCUGAUGACCAUUCUAAUGCUUAUACAAGCCAAUGCGUGGAAAACCACAAAAAUCUUGUGUUGCGAAAAUACCACUUCUAUCUUUUCCUUUUUGAGAAUUUGUCUUUCUUGCCAAGCUUGUAUCCAUGUAUACAUAAAAGAUAUGUUGAGAGUUUGGUUUUGGUUUUAGUUCUUUUGGUAUGCAAAGGACUGUUUUGCAAGUUAACGUUUUGGAUGCCGCCUGUGCGGGAGGCGUCCGCGGCGGCGCGGGCUGGGGAACGAGCGGCGGGGCCCAUGCUGCGCUCCGGUCGAGGGCUUGGUCGGGCCGGCGCGGGAUCUGAGCUGCCGUCGAUGGAUUUCUGGCAGCUUGGCUGCAUGUAGCUUUGGAUUCGGUAACAUCCCCAUCUCUCCGUCUCUGACCCCCCCCCCCCCCACACACACACGAAUUUGUCUCUCGUUGCCGCAUCGCUGACCCAUUGUCCCGAGAUGGCCCCUGCGUCAGUUCCACACCGCUACGGCGCCGCCAGCCACCGCCGUUCCAUUCCCUUGGGUUCAGUUGUGGCGUGGGCUGGAGCCGUACUCUGUUGUCUGAUGCGUCGUUGGAGCGGGAGGUUUGGUCGGUCGACGCCAGGUAUGAGCAGCUCCUGAGCAGGAUGGAUGGAUGAAUGCAUCCAUGUGUCGUGAACUAAAAUCACGACACUUAUUUGGAACGGAGGGAGUAGUAUGUAUGGAUGUCAUGGUCAUGUUGCUUGGUGUGCAGUGCCCGGCCGGGGGAUUGAACCCCCUUUUCGAAAAAUGAAAAUAAUGAGGGGCAAUGAUGAUCAUGACGAUGACUGAAAUAAUCAUGCCUUGAGCAAUCAAGACAGCCGUGGUGUGGUGGUACUAAACAGAGCUGAAAAAAAAACGGUGUCUGGGUUGGAGUUGCCCUUAGAGCCCACCCUUACCUCUCUUGCAGCAUGUCCAAUUCAUCGCUGAUGUUGGAUGCUUUGUGCCUCGGAUGGUCAUUCUGUUGAGUGAUAACCAUGGUAGUUCUCUUACAUCGUGAUGGGUAGAUUAUGAAGCAAGAGAUGUGAGGGUUGGGCUUGAAGAUGGAAAGACAAAAACCGAGCAUCUUUUGCUAUAUAUCUCUCUCAAAUCCUAAACUAAAUCAGUUGAGCUCUCAUUGCUGACUCGCUGGAUCUGGGCCGCCAUCGAUGCAUUUCUCGCAGCUUGGCUGCAUGUUGCUUUGUAUUCGGUACUAUCCCCAUCUCUCUCUCUCUUUCUUUCUCUCUCUCAGACGCUCACACACACUUGCUCUAGUAAAGCCUAACCCUCAACCGAAUCAGGCGAGCUCUCGUUGCCGGAUCUCUGACCAUCGUCCCGGUGGCCGCUGCACACCACUACGACGCCGCCAGCCACCACUGUUCCAUUGCCUUGGAUUCGGUUGUGGCGUGAGCUGGAACCGUGCUCUGUUGUCUGAUGCGUCGUUCGAGCGGGGGGUUUGGUUGUUCGAUCAACUUAUGAAAAAGGGUCAAAACACGAAAUUUAGCCUUUGGGUUGUGGCCGCGUCACUUCACUGCUGUGGUGCUGCCAGCCUCUGCCGUUCCAUUGCCUUGGAUUUGGCUGUGGCGUGGGCUGGGAACCGUGCGGUGUUGUCUGGUGCGUCGUCAGGUUUGGUCGGUCCAGGCGAGGCAUGUGUAGCUCCUGAGGCUGAUGGGGAUGGAUGGACAUGUGCACGCAUGUACUUCCUCCGUUCCUAAAUAUAAGUCUUUCUAGAGGUCUCAAUAUGAACUACAUACGGACAUGUGCUCGCAUGUACUUCCUUCGUUCCUAAAUAUAAGUCUUUCUAGAGGUCUCAAUAUGAACUACAUACGGACAUGUGCUCGCAUGUACUUCCUUCGUUCGUAAAUAUAAGUCUUUUUAGAGAUCCCAAUAUGGACUACAUACGGAGCAAAAUGAGUGAAUCUACACUAUAAAUCAUGUCUAUAUACACCCGUAUGUAGUACGUAUUGAAAUCUCUAAAAAGACUUAUAUUUAGAAACGGAGGGAGUAUGAUCUAAAUGCUCUUAUAUUUCUGUACAGAGGGAGUAUGUAUGUAUGUAUGUAUGUAUGUAUGUAUGUAUGUAUGUAUGUAUGUAUAUCAGGGUCAUGUUGUGCCUGGUGGGCAAAGACCGGUGGUACAACCUCCUUUUCGGUAAAAAAUGAAGGGCGAUGAUGAUGACUGUGGCUGAAAUAAGCAUGUCUUGAGCAAUCAAGAUAGCUGUGGCCUGUGUGUACUAAAUUAGAGCCCACCCUUUCCUCCCUUGCAGCCUGUCCAAUUCAUCGGUAACGUUGGAUGUUCUGCACCUUGGACGGUCAUUCUGAUGAGUGACAACCAGGGCAGUUUUCUUACAUUUUGAUGGGUAGAUUAUGCAGCAAGAGAUGUGAGUGUUGGGUUUGAAGAUGAAAUGCAAAACUGAGCCCUCUUUUGCUUAUGAUCCUUGUAUCCCCUCUCUCUCUCCCUAAAACAAAUCAGUCAAGUUCUCAUUGCCGGCUUGCUGGCCCAUCGUCUCUGUGGCUGCCAUGUCAGUUCCCUGUCUUUACGGUGCUGCCAGCCGCAACCAGUCCAUUGCCUUGGAUUCGUUGUGGUGUGGCUGGGAACCGUAAGGCGUCGUCUGAUGCGUCGUCCACACUGGGAGGUUUGGUCGGUUGAGGCCAGGUAUGAGCAACUCCUGAGACUGUCUAAGUUACUCACCACUAUGGCCAGCCUGAUGGAUGGAUGGAUGGAUGGAUGGAUGGAUGGACGGACGCAUGCAUGCAUGUAUGUAGGGAUAGUAUGGUCAUGUUGCUUGGGGUUUGACCUCCUUUUCAAAAAAAAAAAAGGGGCGAUGAUGAUGCCUGUGGCUGGAAUAAUUAUGUGUUGAGCAAUCAAGACAGCUGUGGCGUGUGGGUACUAAAUAGGCCCCGAAUGGGGCCGGAGUUGGAGAUGCCCUUAAGAGCUCACCCUUACGUUUCUUGCAGCCUGUUCAAUUCAUGGCUAAUGUUGGAUGUUCUGCGCCUCGGAUGGUCAUUCUGAUGAUUGAUAACCAGGGCAGGUCUCUUACAUCGCGAUGUGUAGGUUAUGCAGCAAGAGACGUGAGUAUUGGGCUUGAAGAUGAAAGGCAAAACUGAGCCCUCUUUUGCUACGCUACAAAUACUUAGUUUUUCCUUCUCUACUAUACAUUGUUUUUUAUUUUCUGUUCCUCUCUAUUGUGUUGAUGUGAGAUCUCGAUCUGGAUUGCUAUCUUCUCUUGGUGACGAACCCAACCACCCUGGGUUACUUGGUUUGGUUCCUAGUUGGCGUUGUUUUUGCCUUUAAAGUUGUACAUAUACAUACUAUGUGUCAAACGAUUCUCCUUUUUUCCUCCAAUGCUUGUAGCUAUUGGCAGUUCUAUUCAUGUGGUUAACGAGAAGCUGUUCUCUUGCUUGUCUUGUCCUGCCAGAUGCUUCUUCAAAGACCAAGUUCUGAUCCGUUAUGUCUGUGUUUUUAUAAACUGAAGCUCAAAUUACCUUCGUAUUUGGUUUGGUCAGAGCAGACCUUUUGUUAUGAUUCUCUAUGCUAUUUAGUUCAUUGGUGAUUAGUCUAUUUUCAGCUGCUGCUGUCAAUAUUAACUGUCACAUUUUCGAUGCAUGCGUGUUACAGAUCCCUUGAACGGAUUCGAAAUGAGUGUCAAGUAAAGUUAUCAAAUGCAAAAGUGUAUUUGUUAAAAAGGCUCUUAUAUUUAACUGAAUGUCCUCCUGGAGCUUCCGCUUAGGUCAUUCAUGAUUUAUAUGUUGGGGGCUCGCCCCCUUCUCAUUAUAUAUUUUAAAAUUAAUUUAUUCAGUAUUCUUGCUUUGGUUUUGUUUUCAUUUUGCCAGAGGUUAGACUGACCGGUGUUCAGUUUCAUGGUGGAAUUGCCCACUAUCCAAUGUCACAUGCCUGACUAUUUAGCAUUAGAACCCCAUUUUUCAUGGGAUAAACGGUGACUCAACCAAGCCUUUAGUCUCAACACAUGGAUUGCUAGCUUCUACGCACCUCUGUCCAUGGCUAGUUCUUUGGUGAUAUUCCAUGUCCUCCUUUACUAUCCCACCCCUGUCCAUGGCUAGUUCUUUGGUCAUAUUACAUGUCCUCCUGUAUUAUCACUAUUAAAUUUUUACUGGUUCUUUUGGUAGUGAUGUACAUUCAAGUCGGCAAAUUGUGAACUUCUUUUCUACUGUUUUGGUCCAGCACAGCAACUGCUAACUGGCCUCAAGGAAUACAAUUUGCAUGGUUUGCUUUCUGCUGAUGACCAUUUUAAUGUGUAUAGAAGCCAAUACGUUGAAAAACACAAUGUUGUCAUAAGCCUGUAUCUACCUCCUGUUGCAAAAAUACCAUGGCUACCUUUUAUAAAUUGGCCAACUCUGAGCCUCCCGCCUAAUAAAGUUCUGAGUAAAAUUGAGUGUUUCCUUCCCAAAAUUUGAACUGAUCUUUUCCUUUUUGGUAAUUUGUUGUUCUUGCUUGCUUGCAUCCAUGUAUACAUAAAAGAUAUGUUGAGAGUUCGGUUAUGAUAUUAGUUCUUUCGGUAAAAUCAUGGGCUGGUGGAUGCAAAAGUAGUUUUGCAAGUUUAUAUUUUCGCCUUUUUUCCUACACAUUUUGUUGGUUUUGCAGUAUGUCAACCGGUUCUGUUGUUUUAGGAACAGUACUCCAGGCUCACUUAAUUCUUGUCUCUCUCUUUUUUUUUUUCCUUUUUUGUUCUUCCUUUUUCUUGAAUGGCUAUGAUAAUUCUGCUGUGCCUUGGAUGGUAAUCUUAUUUGGUGCUGGGUCAGUUUGCUUGUUUCAAUUGCUAUUUGACUUGAUAAUUUUGUUCUUCUAUUGUACUCUUUAUUAUCUACUUAUCAGUUUGUAGUUUUGGUUUCUCUUUAGGCCGCGCUUGGGAUGGUUGUAUUUCAAUACGGGGGUAUUUAGUUUACACUUGUAUUUUACUGGCUGCUGAGGCCGUGUUUGAGUUGUCGUUUUCUUUCCAAAUACGUCUGUAAACAAUACAGAUCUCCAUCCGUCGUUUCGCUUCCAGCCGGGAAUCUCUAUUAGCUCGGUAAAUCACACCUGUAAAUUAAAUACAUUUGUAUCUAAAUACACCCAUUCCAAGCGGGGCCUGAACAAUUUCUGGCUGAAAACAAAACGAUGGCCCGAGGUCCGUAUUUUUUACACGUGUAUUUGAAACGGAAACCUGUACUUCUUUACUGGUUUCAACUUAAGGGUCGCAUAUAGCAAGUUCAGCUGUCAAAAUUACUGUCUUCUUUGUGUCACAUUCCUGAAUGGCUGUGAUGAUAUAACCUCCCUAUGAGAGCUAUCUAACACCUGAAUUGAUUUACUUGGUGCUAAACUAGGAUGGCUUGUGUCAAGCAAGUAACCAGUUUAGCGGCUAACUCCCUCAGUUCAUUGGAUUUUUCAGUAUGGACUACGCACGGACUGAAAGGAGUGACUAAACACACUAAAAAUAUACACCCGAUUAAGAAAAAAGUUAGAACAUCUUAUAUUUCUGAAUGGAAGGAGUACUGUUAAACGUUGGAAUUAAGAAUCCACUUAACAGUGUGUAGAGACGGACAAUGGAGAUUACAUGAUCCUUCUACUUAUGGUGGCAAGAUGGCGUUAUAUUUGAGCCAUUUACUUAUACAUGUCCCAGUUUUAUGUGUCCACCAGUUCAUGGUUUGCUCCUGGUAUUGUUUCUUUCUGCAAUCACUGAUUCUCCUAUGAUUUCUUGUCAUCUUGUGCUCUUUGACUAUUGGCUUCUUUGUAAUUCUCUUUGUGGUAUUUGCGCCAAAGUGCUGUUGAUGGCGAUAAUGAGUAAUGUUCAUUCAGAGGUGUAUUUAGAUCAGAUAUCAUCACUUGUUUAUAUGGUAUGUUUUAGGGUUAGGGUUUUGUGUGACUAGGUGGAAGUGUGCAAAUCGGGACGGCUUGCUUUCUCAUUUGAAUGCUGAAAUGUCACACAGGGAUGUAAGGGCAUCUGCAAUGCGGAUCAAUGCGGAUCACCAGGGGUGUAAGGGCAUCUGCAAAGCGGAUCACCAAGUGUAUCGGAUACAGAGUGGGUUCUGCCCAUAUGAGAGCCUCCUUUUUUUUUAAAUAAAUACGACCUCUACUUUUGAAUAUUAUUGGUUUUGAUUCUUCUCAAUCUAUUAAUGAUUUAUAGCAGUAUUGGGAUCUCAUUGUAAUAUACUCCCUUCGUAAAGAAAUAUAAGAGCGUUUAGAUCACUAAGUAAUCUACGACACUUACAAGA